rnacentral:ribozyme from 1 species
AAAAGAAAGGCGUGAAUGAUGAAGAGAAAGAUGAAUUAAACCAAACAGAACAGAAAUGAAUGAUGAGUGAAGAAAGCACGCAUUACAUUCACUUCGUUCUUUUCAUUUGUCUUUCUUCAUUUCAUUCUUCACUUACAUUAUAAACACAAUCCUGUUACCAAAGAGCUGAAUUAGAUGAAUGAGAAGAAACAAACCAAAUGAAAUGUAAUGUAAUGGUUGGUUCGCUUUCUCUUCAUUCACUUCUUUGUCUUCAUUCUAAUGCAUUAGAAAAAGACAAAAGAAGU